GAUGAACGCUGGCGGCGUGCCUAAUACAUGCAAGUCGAGCGAACAGACGAGGAGCUUGCUCCUCUGACGUUAGCGGCGGACGGGUGAGUAACACGUGGAUAACCUACCUAUAAGACUGGGAUAACUUCGGGAAACCGGAGCUAAUACCGGAUAAUAUAUUGAACCGCAUGGUUCAAUAGUGAAAGACGGUUUUGCUGUCGCUUAUAGAUGGAUCCGCGCCGCAUUAGCUAGUUGGUAAGGUAACGGCUUACCAAGGCAACGAUGCGUAGCCGACCUGAGAGGGUGAUAGGCCACACUGGAACUGAGACACGGUCCAGACUCCUACGGGAGGCAGCAGUAGGGAAUCUUCCGCAAUGGGCGAAAGCCUGACGGAGCAACGCCGCGUGAGUGAUGAAGGUCUUCGGAUCGUAAAACUCUGUUAUUAGGGAAGAACAAAUGUGUAAGUAACUAUGCACGUCUUGACGGUACCUAAUCAGAAAGCCACGGCUAACUACGUG
rnacentral:rRNA from 1 species